UUCGACCAAAAAAAAUAACUCUCAAUAAUAUAUAAUUGUCUGACAAAAUGCAACAUAUGAAUAAAGUGUUUGUAGUCUACAAAUUGAAUAGAAUAACCGGUCUAAAAAUAUUAUGCAAAUAUUUUCCAUCGACUUCGAAAAACAUAUACUACAACAGAUCAGACUAUUCAAUAACAUCGUUCUCCAAAAGCUUGAGAAGUUGUUCCACUUUAUUCUGCAUUAACAUUAAUCAAAUGUUAAAACCAGUUUAAUAGGUAAACAUAUUAUAAUCAAACUAACAUGAAGUAUAUAAAUAGUUAUAAACUAAUAAAUGCAGGGGCUCUUAAGUACAUAUCUCAUUGAAUAGUAGAGGAAUUUGUUUUCUUAAGGUGAAAAGACCUAAACAUGAUUUAUAGACCAAACAAACAAAAAAAAAUUCCACUCACAUCUCCAGUACACAUUCCAAUAGCUUAGAAAAGUGCAUUUCACUAGUGUGAUGAAAUUAUUAUCAGGCAAAGCAACAAAUAAACAAAGGAAAUAGGUAGAUAAAACAUACAAAUAAAGUAAUAAAAAAUAUUUCAGCUGACAUCUCGAGUACUCAUAUUCAAAUAGUCUGGAUAAAAUGUGUUUCACAUAAGGCCACUUCUCUAGACAAAUAGAUGAUGUCAAUAGAGAUGUUUUCAUCUAAAUAACAUAAAUUAAUUAACAAACUCAAUCUAGGAAGUUAACUAAUUAAGGGUAUAAUCGAGUUCAACGAUUAAGAAAUAACCUGCGAGAAAAAUCCACAUGCUAUUAUUUAUUUAUAACACAAAUUACAAUCCAUCUAUUGGCAACUCAAGUAAUGUUCAAUUUAUUAGUACUCAGACUCCUCAAGUAGCUACAAUUAUAUAGUAUUUUCAUAUUUUUCACUCAAUUCAAAACAAAAAAGUGAAAGUGCAUUGAUAAAAAAAAUUAUCCCAAUAAAAUAUAACAUGUUAAAAUGAUUUAAACAUAAACUUUCUUACCAAGACAAAUUUUCCGCAGUGCUAUUCCCUUGCAUUCUUAGAAAGAAUUGAUACAUUUCUUCAUGUGUUUGCAAUUGCAACGACUCUAUUUUUUCUUCAUAACUACUAUUUUGUUUUGCCAUUUUGCUCUGCUAGUUCUGUAUUAGGGUGUUAGUUACCUUUCCUGCACUUUGAAGCUCAUUCCCAUUUUCUUUUUAUGUAUUUAAUGAAUAUUUCCAUAGUUCAAUCUUGUUUGGAUUAGUCUGCUUGUAAUGUACUAGUAAAUAUCACAAUGACAAGUUGUUAAUUUUCAAGAAAUACGAGGUAGAUUUUAAAAUUGAGAAUGACAAGAAUACAAACCAUUUUCCUAUAACACGAAAGAUAUAUAAAAUCAAAAAAGUAAUUUAAUGAGAUUCAAGGAUUGCAGGCCCUACCAAACAUCACCAAAUUGUCACAUAUUGAGAAAAAAAAAUAUCAAUAGUAGGCACAUAACAUUACCAAAUGCCAUUAACAGAAGGGGGUGUAUUGAUUUAGAUUUUUAUUUUUUAAAUUGAG
rnacentral:lncRNA from 1 species